GCCGCGUGAGGGACGACGGCCUUCGGGUUGUAAACCUCUUUUAGCAGGGAAGAAGCGAAAGUGACGGUACCUGCAGAAAAAGCGCCGGCUAACUACGUGCCAGCAGCCGCGGUAAUACGUAGGGCGCAAGCGUUAUCCGGAAUUAUUGGGCGUAAAGAGCUCGUAGGCGGUUUGUCGCGUCUGCUGUGAAAUCCGGAGGCUCAACCUCCGGCCUGCAGUGGGUACGGGCAGACUAGAGUGCGGUAGGGGAGAUUGGAAUUCCUGGUGUAGCGGUGGAAUGCGCAGAUAUCAGGAGGAACACCGAUGGCGAAGGCAGAUCUCUGGGCCGUAACUGACGCUGAGGAGCGAAAGGGUGGGGAGCAAACAGGCUUAGAUACCCUGGUAGUCCACCCCGUAAACGUUGGGAACUAGUUGUGGGGUCCAUUCCACGGAUUCCGUGACGCAGCUAACGCAUUAAGUUCCCCGCCUGGGGAGUACGGCCGCAAGGCUAAAACUCAAAGGAAUUGACGGGGACCCGCACAAGCGGCGGAGCAUGCGGAUUAAUUCGAUGCAACGCGAAGAACCUUACCAAGGCUUGACAUAUACGAGAACGGGCCAGAAAUGGUCAACUCUUUGGACACUCGUAAACAGGUGGUGCAUGGUUGUCGUCAGCUCGUGUCGUGAGAUGUUGGGUUAAGUCCCGCAACGAGCGCAACCC
rnacentral:rRNA from 1 species